UAGAGGAGCAUGCUAAGGUAAUAAAACUGUAAAGAAAAUCAAGGAAAUGCUUAUCAUAACGGUCAAAUAGUAGCUACCUCUAGGAGAGGAAGGAGGCGGGGUGAUUUGGAAGGGGUCCCGAGGAGGCUUCUGGGGCUGUGGCCAGUUUCUGUUUCUUCAUCUGAGUGGUGGCUACUCAGGUGUUGCUUUGUGACAAGUCAGCGAGCUGUACCUCUUUAUUUUGUGUGCUUUUCUAUACGUCUGUUAUAUUUUACAAAGAAUUUUUGAACAACUGCUGUGCCUUCUCUAAUCUUAUUUUACUCUGUGGUCCCUGUGGGUUUACGCCUUUCCUGUUGCGGCGGGGUUGCCAGAGGGAGCCAAAGUAAGCGCGUGCACUCAGUCCAGCAUCCUGACUUGGAAGCUCUCCAGCCUGGUCGGGACGGCCGUUUGCACCUGAAGACUUCCCAAGGAGAGGCUGUCUGUGUACCUGAUCAUGAGUCAUUAUCAGACAGAUUGGACAACUGAUUGCCCCAAGCCAUGAACCGUAUCGCCAGUACGCCACAAUGCAGGUACC